rnacentral:rRNA from 1 species
CCGCGGUAAUACGGAGGAUGCAAGCGUUAUCCGGAUUUAUUGGGUUAAAGGGUGCGCAGGCGGGUUUUUAAGUCAGUGGUGAAAUACUGCCGCUUAACGGUAGAAUUGCCAUUGAAACUAGGAAUCUUGAGUGUGGUUGAGGUAGGCGGAAUGUGUAGUGUAGCGGUGAAAUGCAUAGAUAUUACACAGAACACCGAUUGCGGAGGCAGCUUACUAAGCCAUAACUGACGCUGAGGCGCGAAAGCGUGGGGGGCGAACAGGAUUAGAUACCCUGUAGUCCACGCUGUAAACGAUGUGCACUAGGUGUCGGGUCACGAAGACUCGGUGCCGGAGCGAACGUGUUAAGUGCACCGCCUGGGGAGUAUGCUCGCAAGGGUGAAACUCAAAGGANUUGUCGGGAAAAAAACAAGCGGUGGAGCAUGUAAAAAAAUCGAUGAUACGCGAGGAACCUUACCAGGGCUUGACAUCUACGUGACAGCGGUAGAGAUACCGUUUCCCUUCGAGACAGGUAGACAGGUGCUGCAUGGCUGUCGUCAGCUCGUGCCGUGAGGUGUUGGGUUAAGUCCCGCAACGAGCGCAACCCCUGCUGUCUGUUGCUAUCAGGUAAAGCUGAGGACUCAGACGGAACUGCCGGUGACAAACCGGAGGAAGUUUUGGAAGACGUCAAGUCAUCAUGGCCCUUAUGUCCUGGGCUACACACGUGCUACAAUGGCCGGUACAGAGCGAACUUAAAGCGCGAGGUGGAGCANNUCGCCGAAAGCCGGUGACCUAUAAGAGGCGGAGUCUGAAACCCGACUCCGGAAGGGGAAUCGCUAG